UACUCACUGAUAUGUGGAUAUUAGGCCA
rnacentral:misc_RNA from 1 species